CGGGUUCAAGCGAUUCUCCUGCCUCAGCCUCCCAAGUAGCUGGGACUACAGGUGCACACCACUAUGCCUGGCUAAUUUUUUGUAUUUUUAGUAGAGACGGGAUUUUGCCAUGUUGGCCAGGCUGGUGUCAAACUCCUAGCUCAGGUGAUCCGCCUAGUGGUUAGGAUUUGGCGCUAUCUCUCCCUUUUGGUUUUGAGCCUAAAGACAUUCUGCCCUUAUAGUUUGCUUACCAAGGCCUUAUGCUUCUAAAAUGUAGAAGGGAGGAUGUGUGUGUGAGUGUGAGUGAGUGUGUGAGUGUGUGUGUGUGUGUAUGUGUCUUUGUACCUGUUUCUGUCCCCAUCUUACCAGUACUUGCCUAAAUACUGCAUUAAGCAUCAUGGGUGAAAUAGGAUUAGAGAAGGUUGGACCAGAUCAGUGGCUCCCAAAGCUGCUGCUGGGUUGGACCAGUGCUGCACUGGCCCUAUGAGAAUUGCUCACAUGUUUCCAGAAAUACAGCUCCCCAGGCUCCUACCCUGACAUUCCGGUGUAGAAGGCCUGGGGUGGAACCUUAGAAUCUGUCAUUUUUCAAAGCCCACCUCUGAUGCUCAUGCACUGCUAGUUGUAGGAACCACUGGGCUCGGUUCCCUGAAAGAGCUCUUUCUCCUGGUAACAAGUUCUGUGACUCUCUCUGCCCACUCAGUCUUCUUAGAUUGGCAUGUUAGAAGCUCCAUGACUUGCCUUUGAAAUAUUUUUCCAGCUUCAAAGUCCUGGACUUCUACUCUGGCCGAACUGGCCUGUGUAUUAUGAGUCACCUGAACAUACUUUUUGAUUUCCUGAAGGCUCUGUUAUUGUUAAGACCCUUUUGCUGUUCCCUACCUAUAAAACUCAUUUCCAUCCUUUAGGGCUGAACCGAAAAGUCUAUCUCCUUUGAUCAUUUUCCUGACCAUCUCAACCUAUUUCUAACUUUUUCCCUCUUUUUUUAUCCUCAGCUCUAUUAAAGUAUCAUUAACAAAGAAAAGUUGUAUAUAUUUAUAGUGUAUAAUGUGAUGGUUUGGGGUUUUUAUUUUUUGAGACAGGAUCUCCCUCUGUCACCCAGGCUGGAGUGCAGUGGCAUAAUCAGGGCUCACUGCAGCCUUGACCUCCCGGGCUCAAGCAAUCUUCCUGCUUCAGCCUCCCAAGCAGUUAGGACUAUAGGCUCCUGGCCAGGCUAAUUUUAUAUUUUUUCGAUUUUAGUAAAGCCGAAGUCUGGCUGCGUUGCCCAGGCUGGUCUUGAACUCCAGCAGCACAGUCUCAGCUCACUGCAACCUCCACCUCCUGGGUUCAAGCCUCAGCCUCCUGAUUAGCAGGGACUGUGGACGUGUGCCACCACGCCUGGCUAAUUUUUUUAUUUUUUGUAGAGACGAGGUUUUGCCACGUUGGCUAGGCUGGUCUUGAACUCCUGACCUCAAGCGAUCCUCCCACCUCAUUCUCCCAAAGUGGUGGGAUUACAGGCGUGAUCCACCACACCCAGCCCAAUGUGAUGUUUUGAUACAUGCAUACAUUACGAAGUGAUUUCCACAAUCUGACAACAUACCCAUUAGCUCACUGUGUGUGUGUGUGUGUGUGUGUGUGUGUGUGUGUGUGUGUGUGUGUUGAGAACACUUGAGAUCUACUGCCUUAGCAAAUGUCAUAUAUAUGAUUACAAGAUUAUUAACUAUAGUCACCAUGCUGUACCUUGGAAAAGAAAACCUACUUUUCUUGCUUAAGUAAAACUUUUACCCUUUUCAAGGACUGGGGGACCUUGAGUAUGUGCAGAUUUUGGUACACGCAGGGGGUCCUAGCACCAAUCUCCUGCGUGUACCAAGGGAUGACCGUGUGUAUAGAAAAUCACAUGUUUAUUACCCAUGUAUUUGUUGUUGGAUGCUUAGUCUGUUUCCAUAUCUUUCUAUUGUAAAUAGUGCCGCAGUAUACAUGAGUGUGCAGAUAACUCUUAACAAUACUGAUUUCAAUCCCUUUGUGGUGUUGCUGGAUCGUAUUAAUUUUGGGGGGAACCUCCGUACUGUUUCCCAUAAUGGCUGUACCAAUUUACAUUCCCACCAACAGUGUACAAAGAUGCCCAUUUCUCCAUGUCUCACUAGCACUCGUGUGUCUUUUUGGUAAUAGCCCUUCUAACAGGUAUCAGGUGAUACCUCAUCGUGGUUUUGAGUCAAAUUUUCCAGAUGAUUAAAGAUGUUGAGCAGCUUUUCAUAUACCUGUCAGCCGUUUGCAUGUCUUUUUUUAGAGAGAGACAGGGUCUCACUCUGUUGUGCAGACUGGCGUGCGGUGGUGCGAUCAUGGCUCACUGUAGCCUUGAACUCCUGGCCUCAGGUGAUCCUCCUGUCUUGGCCUCCCAAAGUUUUUGGGAUUACGUGAGCCACUGCGCCAGGCCUUAUGUGUUUUCUUUUGAGAUCCUUAGCCCAUUUUCCGUUUUUUUGUUUUUUUUGGAAAGAGUCUUGCUCUGUCGCCCAGGCUGGAGAGGCUGGAGUGCAGUGGUGCCAUCUUGGCUCACUGCAACCUCCACCUCCUAGGUUCCAGCGAUUCUCCUGCCUCAGCCUCCCAAGUAGCUGGGGUUACAGGUGUGUGCCACCACACCCAGCAAAUUUUUGUAUUUUUAGUAGAGAUGGGGUUUCACUAUGUUGUCCAGGCUGGUCUCGAACUCCUGACCUCAGGUGAUCUGCCUGCCUUGGCCUCCCAAAGUGCCGGGAUUACAGGUGUGAGCCACUGCGCCCGGCCACCUUAGCCCAUUUUCUAAACAGGGUGCCUGUUUUCUUGUUAUUGCAUUAACUUUUCCCCUCUUUCCAGCCUGCUCUUAAGAUUGUACAUGCUUUGAGGGCCCGUAUCUUGUCUUAGAUGCUUUAUCUAUUCUUUGCCUUAUGGAAGUGGUUACAUAAAACAUUCUUAGCUGAAUUUCCCCCUGCUUCUCGCCUUCUCCUUGUUAAUGAGUACUUAUUGAGUGUGAUGUGCGAGCAUCUACUUUGGUUCCUAGACGCCCACAAGCAAAAUAGGUCAGUGCCCUGCUGGGAGUAGGGAGGGGUUGUCAGGGUCUUCUUUGGGUUUGUGGCCAGACAGGCGACUGUGGAGCAGACCAGGCACUCUGGGGACAGGAUGAUGCGUUCUGGCUGGAAGAUACAGGGAGGCUUCCCAGGGACCCUAACACAGCCUGCUGCCCUGGACCUUUGCUGGGGAACU
rnacentral:lncRNA from 1 species